rnacentral:lncRNA from 1 species
UUCUUGGUUUCCAGGCCAACAUCCCCCUAACCCCUCCCCCUCCCAUUCUAUAUGGGUGUUCCCCUCCCCUUCCUCCCCACAUUACCACCCUCCUCCCAACAAUCAUGUUCACUGGGGGUUCAGUCUUGGCAGGACCAAGGGCUUCCCCUUCCACUGGUGCUCUUACUAGGCUAUUCAUUGCUACCUAUGAGGUUGGAGCCCAGGGUCAGUCCAUGUAUAGUCUUUGGGUAGUGGCUUAGUCCUUUGCAAUUCCUGUUUUAAUAGUAGAUUAUUCUUCAACUUUCAGGGAUCUGAUAAAAGCUAAGACUUCUUCUGAAAGUGUUUCUUUUAAAGGGAGUUUGGUUAAGGCAAAGUGGGUAAAAGGAAAUCCAUUCUAAGCAUAUAUAAAGGAAUACAAGAUGGUGUGUUUCAUUUAUGUGCUUGGACAGAGACAAAAAGCAGUGAAAAGCACACAGUCUUAGCUCUCCCUGAGUGAUUUUCCUGGAUGGGAGGUAAGUCAGCAGAGCAGAUCAUACAAAGCUUAUAA